UACGGAGGAUGCGAGCGUUAUCCGGAUUCAUUGGGUUUAAAGGGUGCGUAGGCGGUUUCUUAAGUCAGUGGCGAAAUCCUGCGGCUCAACCGUAGAACUGCCAUUGAUACUGAGAAACUUGAAUAUAGUUGAGGUAGGCGGAAUGAGUAGUGUAGCGGUGAAAUGCUUAGAUAUUACUCAGAACACCGAUUGCGAAGGCAGCUUGCUAAGCUAUAAUUGACGCUGAUGCACGAAAGCGUGGGGAUCAAACAGG
rnacentral:rRNA from 1 species